rnacentral:rRNA from 1 species
UGGGGAAUAUUGCACAAUGGGCGCAAGCCUGAUGCAGCCAUGCCGCGUGUGUGAAGAAGGCCUUCGGGUUGUAAAGCACUUUCAGCGAGGAGGAAGGUGGUGAGCUUAAUACGCUCAUCAAUUGACGUUACUCGCAGAAGAAGCACCGGCUAACUCCGUGCCAGCAGCCGCGGUAAUACGGAGGGUGCAAGCGUUAAUCGGAAUUACUGGGCGUAAAGCGCACGCAGGCGGUUUGUUAAGUCAGAUGUGAAAUCCCCGGGCUCAACCUGGGAACUGCAUUUGAAACUGGCAAGCUAGAGUCUCGUAGAGGGGGGUAGAAUUCCAGGUGUAGCGGUGAAAUGCGUAGAGAUCUGGAGGAAUACCGGUGGCGAAGGCGGCCCCCUGGACGAAGACUGACGCUCAGGUGCGAAAGCGUGGGGCAGCAAACAGGAUUAGAUACCCUGGUAGUCCACGCUGUAAACGAUGUCGAUUUUGGAGGUUGUGCCCCUUGAGGCGUGGCUUCCGGAGCUAACGCGUUAAAUCGACCGCCUGGGGAGUACGGCCGCAAGGUUAAAACUCAAAUGAAUUGCGGGGUC